ensembl:lncRNA
AAUGAGCCCAGCUAAAAUCAAUUCCCCCAGACCCGGUAAUCUCCUUUUUACCCAGGAGUGAAGCCUGCCGCCAUAUUCUGCCCACAGACUGCUUUAUACCUCGGGGUGCACUCCAGGACCUUACUUCACGUUGGUCAGUGAUCCUCAGUGAUCAAUGCAAAGAAAUAGAGGAAAACAAUAAAAUAGGAAAGACUAGAGACUCUUCAAGAAAAUUAGAGAUACCAAGGGAAUAUUUCAUGCAAAGAUGGGCACAAUAAAGGACAGAAAUAGUAUGGACCUAACAGAAGCAGAAGACAUUAAGAAGAGGUAGCAAGAAUACACAGAACAACUGUACAAAAAAGAUCUUCACGACCCAGAUAAUCAGGAUGGUGUGAUCACUCACCUAGAGCCAGACAUCCUGGAAUAUGAAGUCAAGAGGACCUUAGAAAGCAUCACUACGAACAAAACCAGUGGAGGUGAUGGAAUUCCAGUUGAGCUAUUUCAAAUCCUGAAGGAUGAUGCUGUGAAAGUGCUACACUCAAUAUGCCAGCAAAUUUGGAAAACUCAGCAGUGGCCACAGGACUGGAAAAGCUUCCGGUGGCUGCAGACAUUCCUCAGCUUGUGGCUACGUCACUCCAGUCUUCAAGGAAGACUCCAAAAUUCAUUCUACAUAAACAAGGAAGAAACUGAACAAAGCACAUCACAGCUCAAAUGUCCCAGCUUGAUCACAACAAGGAUGAGAAAACUCUCCCACCUGACAUGGAGGAGGAACUGAUGAUGGAAGCUUGACAUCUACUCAGGGUUGAGGAAGAAGGUGGUUUUCUCUCUCUCUCUCUGCUUUUCCUUUGAUUAUAAAACUGUAGUCCACUGAGUUCUUGGGGCACAGCUCCCUCUUGUCCUUUUGCUUUUAAGCCUCACAAGCAUCCUAUUCUAAUAAAUCAUUUCUCAUCUUU